rnacentral:rRNA from 1 species
UACAGAGGGGGCAAGCGUUGUUCGGAAUUACUGGGCGUAAAGGGCGCGUAGGCGGCCUGCUAAGUCGAACGUGAAAUCCCCGGGCUCAACCCGGGAACUGCGUCCGAUACUGGCGGGCUUGAAUCCGGGAGAGGGAUGUGGAAUUCCAGGUGUAGCGGUGAAAUGCGUAGAUAUCAGGAGGAACACCGGUGGCGAAGGCGGAUCUCUGGGCCAUUACUGACGCUGAGGAGCGAAAGCGUGGGGAGCGAACAGG